rnacentral:piRNA from 1 species
UGAGCUCAGUGCGAGAACAGCCCUCUGUCU